UACGUAGGGUGCAAGCGUUAAUCGGAAUUACUGGGCGUAAAGCGUACGCAGGCGGUUUUGUAAGUCUGACGUGAAAUCCCCGGGCUCAACCUGGGAAUUGCAUUGGAGACUGCAAGGCUAGAAUCUGGCAGAGGGGGGUAGAAUUCCACGUGUAGCAGUGAAAUGCGUAGAGAUGUGGAGGAACACCGAUGGCGAAGGCAGCCCCCUGGGUCAAGAUUGACGCUCAUGCACGAAAGCGUGGGGAGCAAACAGG
rnacentral:rRNA from 1 species